rnacentral:rRNA from 1 species
AGAAUCAACGCUGGCGGCGUGCCUAACACAUGCAAGUCGAUCGAGAAAGUGGAGCAAUCCAUGAGUAAAGAGGCGCACGGGUGAGUAACACGUGACUAACCUACCCUCGAGUGGGGAAUAACCUGGGGAAACCCGGGCUAAUACCGCAUAAUACCCACGGGUCAAAGGAGCAAUUCGCUUGAGGAGGGGGUCGCGGCAGAUUAGUUAGUUGGCGGGAUAAUGGCCCACCAAGACGAUGAUCUGUA